AGGUCACUGCUAUUGGAAUUCGAUUAAGCCAUGCGAGUCGAGAGGGUUCGGCCCUCGGCAGACUGCUCAGUAACACGUGGAUAAUCUGCCCUUGGGUGGGGGAUAAACUCGAGAAAUUGAGCAUAAUACCCCAUAGGUCUAGUAUGCUGGAAUGCUUCUAGACUCAAAACUUCGGUGCCCAAGGAUGAGUCUGCGGCCUAUCAGGCUGUAGUGAGUGUAAAGGACUCACUAACCGACGACGGGUACGGGCCUUGAGAGAGGUUGCCCGGAGAUGGACUCUGAGACACGAGUCCAGGCCCUACGGGGCGCAGCAGGCGCGAAAACUUCACAAUGCGGGAAACCGUGAUGAGGGAAUUCCAAGUGCUAGCAAUUUAUUGCUAGCUGUUUACAUGCCUAAAAAGCAUGUAGAGUAAGAGCUGGGUAAGACUGGUGCCAGCCGCCGCGGUAAUACCAGCAGCUCAAGUGGUGGUCGUUAUUAUUGGGCCUAAAGCGUCCGUAGCCGGUCUGGUAAACUCUUGGGUAAAUCGGGCAGCUUAACUGUCCGAAUUCUAAGGAGACUGCCAGACUUGGGACCGGGAGAGGUCAGAGGUACUCCUGGGGUAGGGGUGAAAUCCUGUAAUCCUAUGGGGACCACCAGUGGCGAAGGCGUCUGAUCAGAACGGGUUCGACGGUAAGGGACGAAGCCCUGGGGCACAAACCGGAUUAGAUACCCGGGUAGUCCAGGGUGUAAACGCUGCAGNCUUGGUGUUGGGGGUCCUACGAGGGCACUCAGUGCCGGAGAGAAGUUGUUAAGCCUGCCGCCUGGGGAGUACGUCCGCAAGGAUGAAACUUAAAGGAAUUGGCGGGGGAGCACCGCAACGGGUGGAGCGUGCGGUUUAAUUGGAUUCAACGCCGGAAAACUCACCGGGGGCGACUGUUACAUGAAGGCCAAGCUGAUGACUUUGCUAGAUUUUCAGAGAGGUGGUGCAUGGCCGCCGUCAGUUCGUACCGCAAGGCGUUCUGUUCAGUCCGAUAACGAACAAGACCCCUACCUUUAAUUGCCAGGUUUCCCUCCGGGGAAACGGGACAUUAAAGGGACCGCUGGCGCUAAGUCAGAGGAAGGAGGGGGCAACGGUAGGUCAGUAUGCCCCGAAUCUCCCGGGCUACACGCGCGCUACAAAGGCUGGGACAAUGAGUUUCAAAACCGAAAGGUUAAGGUAAUCUCGAAACCCAGUUAUAGUUCGGAUUGAGGGCUGCAACUCGCCCUCAUGAAGCUGGAAUCCGUAGUAAUCGCGGGUCAACAUCCCGCGGUGAAUACGCCCCUGCUCCUUGCACACACCGCCCGUCAAACCAUCUGAGUUGGGUCUGAGUAAGGCUACCUCUUUAUGUGGUAUUCGAACUCAGGUUCAGCAAGGAGGGUU
rnacentral:rRNA from 1 species